rnacentral:rRNA from 1 species
AGCGAACGCUGGCGGCAGGCUUAACACAUGCAAGUCGAGCGGGCACUUUCGGGUGUCAGCGGCGGACGGGUGAGUAACGCGUGGGAACGUGCCCUCUGGUUCGGAAUAACUCAGGGAAACUUGAGCUAAUACCGGAUACGCCCUUUUGGGGAAAGGCUUGCUGCCGGAGGAUCGGCCCGCGUCUGAUUAGCUAGUUGGUGAGGUAACGGCUCACCAAGGCGACGAUCAGUAGCUGGUCUGAGAGGAUGAUCAGCCACACUGGGACUGAGACACGGCCCAGACUCCUACGGGAAGCAGCAGUGGGGAAUAUUGGACAAUGGGCGCAAGCCUGAUCCAGCCAUGCCGCGUGAGUGAUGAAGGCCUUAGGGUUGUAAAGCCCUUUUAUCCGGGACGAUAAUGACGGUACCGGAGGAAUAAGCCCCGGCUAACUUCGUG